rnacentral:rRNA from 1 species
AUUGAACGCUGGCGGCAGGCCUAACACAUGCAUGUCGCGCGGAAACUAAGGGAGCUUGCUCCCAGGCGUCGAGCGGCGGACGGGUGAGUAACACGUGAGAAUCUGCCCAUUAGUGGGGGACAACUCGGGGAAACUCGAGCUAAUACCGCAUAAUCCCCACGCGCGAAAGCCGGGGACCUUUUGGCCUUGCGCAGAUGGUUGAGCUCACGUCGGCUUAGCUUGUUUGCGAGGUAAAGGCUCACCAAGGCGACGCUCCGUAGCUGGUCUGACAGGAUGAUCAGCAAAGCUAGGACUGAGAGACGGCCCAUACUCCUACGGGAGGCAGCAGUGGGGAAUCUUGGACAAUGGGGGCAACCCUGAUCCAGCCAUGCCGCGUGUGUGAAGAAGGCCUUCGGGUUGUAAAGCACCUUCUGCAGGGAGGAAGGCUUUGGCCGAAUAGGUUGAAGCACUUGACGUUACCUGCAGAAGAAGCACCGGCUAAUUUCGUGCCAGCCGCCGCGGUAA